rnacentral:rRNA from 1 species
CAGCCGCCGCGGUAAUACGAAGGGUGCAAGCGUUACUCGGAAUUACUGGGCGUAAAGCGUGCGUAGGUGGUGGUUUAAGUCCGUUGUGAAAGCCCUGGGCUCAACCUGGGAAUUGCAGUGGAUACUGGGUCACUAGAGUGUGGUAGAGGAUAGUGGAAUUUCCGGUGUAGCAGUGAAAUGCGUAGAGAUCGGAAGGAACAUCUGUGGCGAAGGCGACUAUCUGGGCCAACACUGACACUGAGGCACGAAAGCGUGGGGAGCAAACAGGAUUAGAUACCCGGGUAGUCCCUGUCUCUUAUAU